rnacentral:rRNA from 1 species
GUGUCAGCCGCCGUGGUAAUACAGAGGGUGCGAGCGUUAAUCGGAUUUGCUGGGCGUAAAGCGUGCGUAGGCGGCUUUUUAAGUCGGAUGUGAAAUCCCUGAGCUUAACUUAGGAAUUGCAUUCGAUACUGGGAAGCUAGAGUAUGGGAGGGGAUGGUAGAAUUCCAGGUGUAGCGGUGAAAUGCGUUGAGAUCUGGAGGAAUACCGAUGGCGAAGGCAGCCAUCUGGCCUAAUACUGACGCUGAGGUACGAAAGCAUGGGGAGCAAACAGGAUUAGAUACCCCAGUAGUCC